GUACUCGAUGCGAACGGGUGAGUAACACGUGGGUGAUCUGCCUUGCACUUCGGGAUAAGCUUGGGAAACUGGGUCUAAUACCGGAUAGGACAGCUGUUUAGUGUCAGUUGUGGAAAGUUUUUUCGGUGCAAGAUGAGCUUGCGGCCUAUCAGCUUGUUGGUGGGGUAAUGGCCUACCAAGGCGUCGACGGGUAGCCGGCCUGAGAGGGUGUACGGCCACAUUGGGACUGAGAUACGGCCCAGACUCCUACGGGAGGCAGCAGUGGGGAAUAUUGCACAAUGGGCGGAAGCCUGAUGCAGCGACGCCGCGUGGGGGAUGAAGGCCUUCGGGUUGUAAACUCCUUUCGACAGGGACGAAGCGUAAGUGACGGUACCUGUAUAAGAAGCACCGGCUAACUACGUGCCAGCAGCCGCGGUAAUACGUAGGGUGCGAGCGUUGUCCGGAAUUACUGGGCGUAAAGAGCUCGUAGGUGGUUUGUCGCGUCGUCUGUGAAAUUCCGGGGCUUAACUCCGGGCGUGCAGGCGAUACGGGCUGACUUGAGUGCUGUAGGGGAGACUGGAAUUCCUGGUGUAGCGGUGAAAUGCGCAGAUAUCAGGAGGAACACCGAUGGCGAAGGCAGGUCUCUGGGCAGUAACUGACGCUGAGGAGCGAAAGCAUGGGUAGCGAACAGGAUUAGAUACCCUGGUAGUCCAUGCCGUAAACGCUGGGCGCUAGGUGUAGGGGGCUUCCACGUCUUCUGUGCCGUAGCUAACGCAUUAAGCGCCCCGCCUGGGGAGUACGCCGCAA
rnacentral:rRNA from 1 species